rnacentral:rRNA from 1 species
UACGUAGGGUGCAAGCGUUGUCCGGAAUUAUUGGGCGUAAAGAGCUCGUAGGCGGUCUGUUGCGUCGGCUGUGAAAACCUGGGGCUCAACCCCGGGCCUGCAGCCGAUACGGGCAAGCUAGAGUUCGGUAGGGGAGACUGGAAUUCCUGGUGUAGCGGUGAAAUGCGCAGAUAUCAGGAGGAACACCGGUGGCGAAGGCGGGUCUCUGGGCCGAUACUGACGCUGAGGAGCGAAAGCGUGGGGAGCGAACAGG